rnacentral:rRNA from 1 species
UACGGAGGGUGCGAGCGUUGUCCGGAAUCAUUGGGCGUAAAGGGCGCGUAGGUGGCUUCUUAAGCGUGCGGUGAAAGCCUGGGGCUCAACCCCGGGUCGGCCGUGCGAACUGGGGGGCUGGAGCACUGUAGAGGCAGGCGGAAUUCCGGGUGUAGCGGUGGAAUGCGUAGAUAUUGCUCGGAAGGCCAACGGCGAAGGCAGGUUACUGGUGCGCAACUGACACUGAGGCACGAAAGCGUGGGGAGCAAACAGG